AAUAAAUAUAUAAAUAAAUAUACAAGAAUUGUUCGUUUAAAAGUAUAAGAUUGUAUUAUAUUCCAUGUACGGGCAGAAAGUUUCAAUUUCUAACUAAACGUAAUGUACUCGUAUAGCCUUCCCAUCAGUUGCUCAUACCAAGCGCCCCAGUCUUAUAAGAUGUGCUUGAAUUUGAUAUAAUUAUUAUUGUUGCACAGCUCAGCACAUAAUAUGUGCAGUGCAGUGCAUUCCAACUUUCAUUAUCAUUUAAUAUGUUAUCUUUUAUUCGAGAUACCGUUAGUACAAACUCCGUGUUAAAAAAAAAUUGAAUAAAGAAUAAAUAUGGAAAAAUUAUAAGUAUCAAAACUAUUUGUCAGUUAUUUCUUAAUUGCAUUGCAUGCAUAUUUUACGUAACGUACUUCUUUAAAUAUACUUACUAAUAAAUGAGACUAAUUACUAGGAAAUCAAAUCAAAAUAGACAAUUUCGUAUUAAAUACAUAUUAAAUACCACACAAAUAAAUGAAAUAAAUACCUCGUUCUCAAAGUAUUGCUUUUAUAAAAUUUUGUAAGGAUUGUAGCGAAAACGAAAAAGUAGCGGUAAAACAUUUAAGUUGGUAACCCUGACGCCCCUUGUGACGCCACGACAAGCGAGCUGCGAGUGCGCCACCAGUCCGCCAUCUUUCUUACCUUUUUGAUUGUUGACUUGUAAAUUUUGUAAUUAGUUUUUGCCGACGUCCACCGUGCCGUUUUUUAAGUAAUUUUUGGUAUUUUACAAAUUGUGUUACUUUAGUGGACACGUGGAGACAUGGACGCUGACUGUUGGAAGAAUUCGUCAAUUCAGACUGGCGCAAAGAGCUAUCAGGGCGCGAUGCCAGGAAUUUCAUUGCGAGACAGAAUUCGAAAUGAGGAUAUUCGCCAACGCAAUAAAGUUACCGACAUUGCAAAAAGGAUUAACUCAAGUGGGAAUGGACCGGCUAUAUUUUUCGCAGAGAUGACGAUCAAUGGGGUCGCCUAGUAUUGCUGUGGAGACCUAGCCUGGGUGGCCGAGGUGGCGGGAAACCACGAGCAGAUGGUCGGAUGACAUCAAAAAACGGCAGGGCCCACCUGGCACUGGCACAGAACCGCCACAUAUAGAACGGAGUGGAAACCCACGGAAUGCAGACCAGGAUCAUAUACUUUAGGUAUGAGUUUGUUACUUUUGCUCAUAAUAACAUGGAGUAUGUCACAGCUGCUCCACGGGCUGCAUUGAAGGGCAACAGGAGCGAAAAUGGAAAGGAGCUCCCCCUUUCAAUUAGAGAAUCUUAGGAUAUGCUAAGGCAAACAGAAGGAGGCAAGGAACGGGACUGCAUCAAUUGCUGUUUGGAACCAAUCUUGUGGGAUGACUUCUGGACAGGGAAAAAACAAUUUCAUCAUCUACCCUAAUACUGACGAAUGUUCUAAAACGUGCUGUAAGGCAGACAUUUCCAAAUGUAACGGAGGAAAGUUUCGAGACAUGUAAUGGUUUCAACACGCUGCUGAGACCCAACUCAAGAGACGUCAGUUUGUACUGUUUUGUCCAUUCUCUAUUGGGCAUGCUUGUAUGGAGAGGUAUAUAUAUUGGAGUACAGACAUGGUGUUUGGUAUGAGUAUUAUAUACAUCCUCUUGAGUCAAAGAGGACCGGUAGCCACUUUGAACUCCGUGUCCGAAAGGGUCAAAGUAUGGAGCUCCCGGUACUCAGAAAAAAAUUCUGGCCUAUUAGUUUUGAACUUUCGAGUCAAGUUUGGUGUCAUUUUUAUGUAAACUGUUCGCUUCAUUUUUAAAUUGAAGAAGAUUAAAAAUCACAGUAAUAUUAUUAAGGCAAAAGUUUGUGAGCAUACUGUGUUUGUUACUUCCUCACGCCACGCCCAAGUGCCUUAACAAAUAUUAUUUAUAAAAUUAAGUAUGGAGGAAGUAAGAUAUACCCUAAGUUAACACGUCGCUUCUUCUUGAUCGUGGGUAACACUCGGGGCGCAGUAUAAUGAUUAUUAAAAAUCUUUAUGCUGUCCCCUAUGCUGCGAUGGCGAUCGUUGCAGUACUUUCAAUAUUUUUUUACAUCAAAUAUUAGAAUCAUCAAAGAUUACUAAUAAAAUAGGCUUUUUAAAAAUAUUUUUUAAAAAUCAUGAUUAGUAUAAAAAUAUGGAAAUAUGAGGAUUUGUUUGCAUUUCGUGGCUACUAAAAAUUCAUUAUAUUAAAUAUUGUGCUAUAUUUUGCUAUGGAACCCUAAAAAAGUAGUUACAUAAAACUGACACUAAAAUUGACUCAAAAGCUCAAACUAAUUGGCCAGAAUUUUUUUCUGAGCAGCAGGAGCUCCAUACUUUGACCCCCUCUCCCCCCUUCGGACACGGAGUUCAAAGUGGCUACCGGUCUUGUUUGACUCGGGAGGACGUGUAUAAUACCCAUACCAAACGCCAAUGCCCUACUCAAAAAUUCACCUUUUCCCAAUAGAGAACGGACUGUGUUAGACAGACGACAGUGCAUGUUGUUACACGGUAAAUUUUACUAGAAGACCAAAUUUAUAAGUUCCUUAGUUAUUCUAUUUUUAACUAAAUAAGUUCUUGUACUAUAAGCAAUCGGAAUAGGCAGAGUAGAUAUAUUUAUUUUUAAACGAAAUGACUUCCUUGCGAUAGUAUUUUUUCAGUACAGAUGGUGUUUUUUUUUACGCACUAGUGCGAGAAGUGGUUCAUUAUACGCCAGGUCUAAACUUCGGAG
rnacentral:lncRNA from 1 species